CCUACGGGAGGCAGCAGUGAGGAAUAUUGGUCAAUGGCCGGAAGGCUGAACCAGCCAAGCCGCGUGAAGGACGAAGGUGCCAAGCAUUGUAAACUUCUUUUGUCAAGGGACAAAAUCAGGCUCGAGAGCCUGACAGAGUGUACUUGAAGAAAAAGCAUCGGCUAAACCCGUGCCAGCAGCCGCGGUAAUACGGAGGAGGCGAGCGUUAUCCGGAUUUAUUGGGUUUAAGGGGUGCGUAGGGGGGCUGAUAAGUCAGCGGUAAAAGCCCGGGGCUCAACCCCGGCGAGCCGUUGAAACUGGCUGGCUUGAGAGGGCGAGAGGUAUGCGGAAUGCGCAGUGUAGCGGUGAAAUGCGUAGAUAUUGGGAAGAACUCCAGUUGCGAAGGCGGCAUACCGGCGGGGAUCUGACGCUGAGGCACGAAAGCGUGGGUAGCGAACAGGAUUAGAUACCCCUGUAGUC
rnacentral:rRNA from 1 species